rnacentral:rRNA from 1 species
CGGUCUUGCUGUCACUUAUAGAUGGAUCCGCGCUGCAUUAGCUAGUUGGUAAGGUAACGGCUUACCAAGGCAACGAUGCAUAGCCGACCUGAGAGGGUGAUCGGCCACACUGGAACUGAGACACGGUCCAGACUCCUACGGGAGGCAGCAGUAGGGAAUCUUCCGCAAUGGGCGACAGCCUGACGGAGCAACGCCGCGUGAGUGAUGAAGGUCUUCGGAUCGUAAAACUCUGUUAUUAGGGAAGAACAUAUGUGUAAGUAACUGUGCACAUCUUGACGGUACCUAAUCAGAAAGCCACGGCUAACUACGUGCCAGCAGCCGCGGUAAUACGUAGGUGGCAAGCGUUAUCCGGAAUUAUUGGGCGUAAAGCGCGCGUAGGCGGUUUUU